rnacentral:tRNA from 1 species
CAUUAGCUCAGCUGGUAGAGCAGCGGACUCUUAAUCCGUUGGUCGCGGGUUCGAUCCCCUCAUGAC